rnacentral:rRNA from 1 species
UACGGAGGGAGCUAGCGUUGUUCGGAAUUACUGGGCGUAAAGCGCGCGUAGGCGGCUUUGUAAGUUAGAGGUGAAAGCCCGGGGCUCAACCCCGGAACAGCCUUUAAGACUGCAUCGCUAGAAUCCGGGAGAGGUGAGUGGAAUUCCGAGUGUAGAGGUGAAAUUCGUAGAUAUUCGGAGGAACACCAGUGGCGAAGGCGGCUCACUGGUCCGGUACUGACGCUGAGGUGGCGAAAGCUACGG